ACUGGUUAAAACUAGCAUUUACAUCAGCUAGAACUAUCAAAAUAGAUGCAUCAAUUUCUCCACUGGCUACAUGUACUCCCAAACAAUUUGAACAAUUCAUUCAGGCAGCAAGUGUUUCCACCAAUAAAAUAAAAAGAAUUGCUUUCAUCCAGAAGAACUGUUUGAACUGUGGACUGUUUGAAAUAUUUUGAACCUGCUCAGAAAUCCC